rnacentral:siRNA from 1 species
CGGUCGGUUGGUCGGACGGUUGGU